rnacentral:rRNA from 1 species
GACGAACGCUGGCGGCAGGCUUAACACAUGCAAGUCGAACGAGAUCUUCGGAUCUAGUGGCAGACGGGUGAGGAACACGUGGGAACAUCCCCUUCAGUUCGGAAUAACGUUGGGAAACUAACGCUAAUACCGGAUACGUCCUUCGGGAGAAAGAUUUAUCGCUGAAAGAUUGGCCCGCGUCUGAUUAGCUAGUUGGUGAGGUAACGGCUCACCAAGGCUACGAUCAGUAGCUGAUCUGAGAGGAUGAUCAGCCACAUUGGGACUGAGACACGGCCCAAACUCCUACGGGAGGCAGCAGUGGGGAAUAUUGGACAAUGGGCGCAAGCCUGAUCCAGCCAUGCCGCGUGAGUGAUGACGGCCUUCGGGUUGUAAAGCUCUUUUGUCCGGGAAGAUAAUGACUGUACCGGAAGAAUAAGCCCCGGCAAACUUCGUGCCAGCCGCCGCCGUAAAAC